CUGGUAAAAAGGUGAAAACUCUUUUUUACCCCCAAACUCUGUGCAAUGGAGCACACGGCUUAUGCAUCGAUGAAGCCCGCGGCAAAAAGCGAUAUGUAAUGAGAUUCGUUAGCCUCGCGAUUCAUCAAAUUGGUGAACACAUACUGGACCUCUUCGGAGGUACUUGCGUUAGAGUGCUAGUUUUCUAUCAAUUGAUCCUGGUAAAAGGUGUUUGAAUCAUUAGAUUCUUACGCCCUAGCCGGUGUAGCCGGAUUCUCUCUGAGAAUUCGGAUUGUUCCUGUGUUGAUAACUUGUUAUUGACUAGGUCAAUCUAUUUUUUAUUAAACUGGCCUCUAAUGUGAGAGGGUACCCCCUGGAUUUAAGCAUAU
rnacentral:misc_RNA from 1 species